GUGCUCACUUCAGCAGCACAUAUACUAAAAUUGGAAUGAUACAGGGAAGAUUAGCAUGGCCCCUGUGCAAGGAUGAUACACAAAUUCAUGAAGCGUUCCAUAUUUUU
ensembl:snRNA RNU6-949P RNA, U6 small nuclear 949, pseudogene